GUGCUCACUUCAGCAGUACGUAUACCAAAAUUAGAACAACAUAGGAAAGGUUAACAUGGCUACUGAGUAAGGAUGAUAUUCAAAUUUGUGAAGCAUUCCAUAUUUUU
rnacentral:snRNA from 1 species